UGUGCAUAUGGCGUUAAGUUAAUGUCAAGAACAUUUAUUAUGGGAUAUAUCUAAUUUGUAGCACUUCUUCACGUACUUAUUAGUUGUUAGUGGUACUUAUUACUUUAAUCGUGGUUUACUGGUUUACAUACUCGUUGCUUGUGGUUCCGAAAUGAGAACAUGAAUGAAACAUGAUACCAAAUACGCUGAUUAAGUUCAGCGUAUGGUUAAAUUUCUCAGAAACUUUUCAAUUGUAACUGCUUACUUAUCCCGGAUUUGGUUGUAACCAAAGAGGAAAAAAUGCUUUCGCAUGUAUUUAAUUACUAGCUAAUUACCACACCACUAAAUAUUUACAUAUGUACUACUUAGGGUACACAUAACCACAAGAUGAGGAAAAAAUCAAAUUUUCUAUAAAAUCUCACGAUUUAACGUUUUUUGAUUCAGUGUUAAGAAUUUUUUUCGUAAUAAACAAACAACUUGUAAAAUUGAACCUGUUUAAUCAUGAGAUUUUCGUUAGCAUUUCUUCUCUUCGCGUUGGUAUUGUUGGUCAACUUCAGCGUAAAUGACGCCGCACCAAGAGUUCGCAGGCAAAGCGAGACGUCGUCCAUCGACGCGGAUGGAAAUGUGACCCGCUGCACGCAUUAUCCGAAUGGGGCUUAUCGAUGUCAUACUCGGAGCCCGGUGAAAUGGACUAAAUGGCACAGCUCCUGGUCAACCAAGUAAACUGAAUGGAUAAAGCAUUUUCAAAAUUUUGGAGGACGGAUUAAAACAUUUUCAAAUAUUUGUACACAAUUCUUAAAGAAAUGGUAAAUAAUUGAUUGAAUAAAAUA